AGUGAACGCUGGCGGUAGGCCUAACACAUGCAAGUCGAACGGCAGCACAGUAAGAGCUUGCUCUUACGGGUGGCGAGUGGCGGACGGGUGAGGAAUACAUCGGAAUCUACUUUUUCGUGGGGGAUAACGUAGGGAAACUUACGCUAAUACCGCAUACGACCUACGGGUGAAAGCAGGGGAUCUUCGGACCUUGCGCGAUUGAAUGAGCCGAUGUCGGAUUAGCUAGUUGGCGGGGUAAAGGCCCACCAAGGCGACGAUCCGUAGCUGGUGUGAGAGGAUGAUCAGCGACACUGGAGCUGGGACACGGUCCAGGCGCCUAAGGGAGGCAGCAGUGGGGAAUGUUGGGCAAUGGGGGCAAGCCUGGUCCAGCCAUACCGCGUGGGUGAAGAAGGCCUUCGGGUUGUAAAGCCCUUUUGUUGGGAAAGAAAAGCAGCAGGUUAAGACCCCGCUGUUCUGACGGUACCCAAAGAAUAAGCACCGGCUAACUUCGUG
rnacentral:rRNA from 1 species